rnacentral:lncRNA from 1 species
CUCCAUACCAAUGAGACAACCAGAAUCAUUCUCCAACCCUACAUGGAACAAGAAUAGUAAGUAUAUAUCGGUGGAGACACCCAAUAUGCAUGAUGGGGGUGCAGAAAGACCACUUUGUCAUUUUCGUUGCACACAGGUUGGUCAUUAUGUUAGUGAAUGUUCCAAUCCCAAAGCCAGUGAUGAUUAUGCAUUGUCAUGUUAUAAUACAACUAUAUGGUG